GAUGAACGCUGGCGGCAGGCCUAACACAUGCAAGUCGAACGGAUCCUUCGGGAUUAGUGGCGGACGGGUGAGUAACGCGUGGGAACAUACCCUUUGGUACGGAAUAGCCUCGGGAAACUGGGAGUAAUACCGUAUGUGGUCGAGAGACGAAAGAUUUAUCGCCAAAGGAUUGGCCCGCGUUGGAUUAGGUAGUUGGUGGGGUAAUGGCCUACCAAGCCGACGAUCCAUAGCUGGUUUGAGAGGAUGAUCAGCCACACUGGGACUGAGACACGGCCCAGACUCCUCCGGGAGGCACCAGUGGGGAAUCUUAGACAAUGGGGGAAUCCCUGAUCUAGCCAUGCCGCGUGAUCGAUGAAGUCCUUAGGGUUGUAAAGAUCUUUCAGGUGGGAAGAUAAUGACUGUACCACCAGAAGAAGCCCCGGCUAACUCCGUGCCAGCCGCCGCCGUAA
rnacentral:rRNA from 1 species